CAGGUGUAGUUUAGUGGUAAAACUCCAGCUUCCCAAGCUGGCCUUGUGGGUUCGAUUCCCAUCACCUG
rnacentral:tRNA from 1 species